rnacentral:misc_RNA from 1 species
UUAAGUUCAGCGGGUAUUCCUACCUGAUUCGAGGUCAACAUUCAGAAGUUGGGUGUUUUACGGCAUGGCCGCGCCGCUCUCCAGUUGCGAGGUGUUAGCUACUACGCAAUGGAAGCUGCGGCGGGACCGCCACUGUAUUUGAGGGACGGCGUGUGCCCACAGGGGGCUUCCGCCGAUCCCCAACGCCAGGCCCGGGGGCC